rnacentral:pre_miRNA from 1 species
UGUUUAAAAUUUCAUCCAUUUGUACUAUUAAAAACUGAUGUGGCUGAUAGAAUAAUCAGAUAUUGACACGUGACAUGCCACAUGUACCUCAUACUGACGUACAAAGAUCAAAUUUUUAUAGCAAAAAUGGAUAAAAUUUUUAAAGCA